UACGGGAGGCAGCAGUGGGGAAUUUUCCGCAAUGGGCGCAAGCCUGACGGAGCAACGCCGCGUGAGGGAUGAAGGCCUCUGGGCUGUAAACCUCUUUUAUCAAGGAAGAAGAACUGACGGUACUUGAUGAAUAAGCCACGGCUAAUUCCGUGCCAGCAGCCGCGGUAAUACGGGAGUGGCAAGCGUUAUCCGGAAUUAUUGGGCGUAAAGCGUCCGCAGGCGGUUUUACAAGUCUGUCGUUAAAGCGUGGAGCUCAACUCCAUUUCAGCGAUGGAAACUGUAAGACUCGAGUGUGGUAGGGGCAGAGGGAAUUCCCGGUGUAGCGGUGAAAUGCGUAGAUAUCGGGAAGAACACCAGUGGCGAAAGCGCUCUGCUGGGCCAUAACUGACGCUCAUGGACGAAAGCCAGGGGAGCGAAAGGGAUUAGAUACCCCUGUAGUCCUGGCCGUAAACGAUGAACACUAGGUGUCGGGGGAAUCGACCCCCUCGGUGUCUAGCCAACGCGUAAGUGU
rnacentral:rRNA from 1 species